UGAUAAUCGAGACUGAGCUAACAGAUGAUGAAUACUAGUCAUUGGCCAAGCAGCUUUGUACCUAAUACAAGUUUCUGUGUAUUCAUUUGGGCCUAACUCGGGCAGGCGGCUGGCGUAAAGCUUACACGUGGCGGUGGGGCUCAGCGGCUUUUGGCGGAAAGAUUUAUCGUAACAGAGAUGGGAGCAGUACAGUACAGAUACUUAUAGCCGAAUAGUAGUCAUAAUCAUGGGAAUCCAGCAGAAGAGAUGGAGGAAGGAUUUUAGGAGGCAGAGUGUUCUAGGACACCAUGAGAAUACAACCCACAAAACAACUAAGCAGGGAUCAUAAUGGUUCACAGUUACUGAGCAAAAAUCAUGGACCCUGUUUGGGCCUGAGCUAGGUCCUCUGCAUAUGCAUUACAGUUGUUUCUUGGUAUUCUUGUAGGAAUGGGGGCGUAUACUUCUGACUCUUGCCUGUACUUGGGUCCCUUUUCUUCUUACUAGAUUGCUUUGUCCAGUCUUGAUAUGAGGGUUUUGCCUAGUCUUAUGAUAAGGUAUUAAGCCACGUUAUAUUGAUUUCUUUAAUAGACCUGCUGUUUUGUUUGAAUGGAAGAGAAGGAGCAGUGGAUCUUGGGGAGAGGAGAGGUGGGAAUGGGAGGAGUUGAGGAAGGGGAAACCGAAGUCAGGAUGUAAUGUAUGAGAGAAAAAUAAAUAUCAGAAAAGAAUAGUUGGACACCAUUUGGAAUCAGACAUUAUUCAGAUUAUUUUUCUGAUUAUCAAGAUUUAUUAAACCUCUCACUCAUGUCAACUAAUUUCCUCUUCAUAUCUUAUUACCUCUGUACCAUUAGUACCUCCAUUUUACGCUGGGCAUUGAUGGCUCACGCCUUUAAUCCUAGAACUCAGGAGGCAGAGGCAGGCGGAUCUCUGUGAGUUCGAGGCCGCCUGGUCUCCAGAACGAGUGCCAGGAUAGGCUCCAAAGCUACACAGAGAAACCUUGUCUUGAAAAACCAAAAGAAAAGUACCUCCAUUUUAUAGAAGAGGAAAUUAAGUCGCUAAAUUUACCUGCAGUGCUGUGAACACAGAGUUUGGGAUGAUGGAUCUGCAUGAUAAGGAUUAUGGAAGCUGUAUUUGAGAACCCCAUGGCAUUUAACAACAGAUAGAGAUUACUGUGUUAUUUUAAAAGAAUAGACACUAGUUGUAGGGGAUCUAGAAGUUAGCUCUCUGUGUUCCUGUGAAUAUGUUGCCACUUAGUCCUACAUUUCCUGGUGACAAAGUUCCGUGUUCCUAAUCUCUACAAAUCUGAAAACUGGACCUGGGAGGUGUCAGAAAAGAAAAAAAAAUGAUGUCAUAGGAAUCAAUUACUGAUAUUCUCUCAUAAAGACAGGGAACUCAAUAGUCCUGGGGUUUAGUAGUAUGUCAAAUUAGACAGACUACAAGUGCUCAAGGACUAAAUCCCCAGAGAAUAAUAUUCAUGGUAAUCCUUAGGAUACUAGGCCCAGGAUUUUGAUUCAGAAUAUUUUGCCACAAAAAACAGAAAUCUGCAUGUAUUGUAUACUCCUGUGGUUAUUUUGGAUGCAGUUUUUCUGUGCUGCUUUGCCAUUGGUGAAGAGUUAGACCAAACAGCCUUUCAAAAGCCUUCAAGUUCAUACUAUAUUUCACAGAAUACAGUUAUCAUGGUCAAGACAGAAAAACAUGGAGGAAUGUCAAUACCAUAGAAAUAAAUGUCAGCAGUAGCUUCAUGGGACAUUCACACUCUUGGUCUUAAGGGAUGUGAUAACUUUCUCAGUUUCUGGAAAUGUUCAAGACUUAGGCUAACAACUGAGCAAUGACAUUGCAAGAGUGAGCCCUUAUCCAGUGGCUGAUGGAAGCAGAGGCAGACACUCACAGAUAUACACUAAACUGAACUAUGGAACCCAGUUGCAGAGAGGGAGGAAUGAAGAUCAAAGGGGUCAGUACCAAGCUGGUGAAAUCCACAGAAACAGCUGGCCUGAACAAGGGAGAGCACAUAGACCCCAGACUGCUUUCUGGGAGGCCAGCACGGGACUGAUCCAGACCCCUGAACAUGGACAACAAUGAGGAAGCCUCAGCACUCUAUGGGGCCCCUGGUAGUGGAUCAGUAUUUUUCCCUGGUGUAAGAAGGCAAUUUGAGAGCCCAUCCCAUGUGAAGGGAUGUAGUCUAUGCCUGGACACACGGGGGAGGGCCUAGGCUUGGCCCAGGAUGAUGUGGUGGACUUUGGGGAGCCCCCAUCGAGGUCCUACCCUGCCUGGGGAGUGAAG
ensembl:lncRNA